AGCAGCCGCGGUAAUUCCAGCUCCAAUAGCGUAUAUUAAAGUUGUUGCAGUUAAAAAGCUCGUAGUUGAAUUUCGAGACUGGUUUACUGGUCGUGCUUUUGUACGUACUGGUAUUAUUGGUUUCUCCUUUCUGACGAAUCAUAAUGCCAUUAAUUUGGUGUUUUGGGGAAUCAGGACUGUUACUUUGAAAAAAUUAGAGUGUUUAAAGCAGGCUCACGCUUGAAUACAUUAGCAUGGAAUAACGAAAUAGGACGUUUGAUUUUAUUUUGUUGGUUUCUAGGAUCGACGUAAUGAUUAAUAGGGAUAGUUGGGGGCAUUAGUAUUCAAUUGUCAGAGGUGAAAUUCUUGGAUUUAUUGAAGACUAACUACUGCGAAAGCAUUUGCCAAGGAUGUUUUCAUUAAUCAAGAACGAAAGUUAGGGGAUCGAAGACGAUCAGAUACCGUCGUAGUCUUAACCAUAAACUAUGCCGACUAGGGAUCGGAUGAUGUUAAUUUUUAAUGACUCAUUCGGCGCCUUACG
rnacentral:rRNA from 1 species